GACAUUUCCUGUAUGUUCAUCAAAUAUUAGCAUUGUUUUAAUUUCAAGCGUUUAUGUCAUUGUGAUAGAGAAGAUGAACUGUCCAUGAAGGAAUGAAUUUAAGUGAUUUUUUUUAAUGUCUGUGCAGUCUUAAUAACAAAUUGACAAAUAUAAAACAUUUAUC